UGAAAUAGAAAUCUGAGACCAUAUCCAGACAGCCCAAACGUUGGAUCAGGCGAUUCGAUUCGGACCAACCGGUUCAUCUGCAGCUUUAAUAACACUAUUCUCCUCCCUCGUUUAACUCCAUUUUCUUGGUAGCAGGGACAAGUUGAUCGGAGCAAGUGACUGGAGAUAGACAUGGGGUUUCUGAGGUGGGGAUUAAAGGAGGGUUUGGGUGGGGAGAGCCCGAAAGGUACACAGAGGAGCAAACCCUACUGCAAUGGAGAUGUCAAGAUUCUGGUGUCUCCGAAAAGCAUUGGAGAUGUCAAGAUCUGCUGCGGCUGAUAGGCUGAUAGGCUGCUUUGGAACCCUAAACGACAAUGCAAACACAUGGCUUGAACGAUGAUCGUAUGCAACGACGAUACUGUAAACACAUGGGAAGACAAUUGCUGUUGCUUCGAUUCUGCUGUAUUCGCCGACGGUGUAGGUGUUCUCGCGUGGUUCCGCUGUUGCUCUGUGUCUCUUUUGCGAGAUUAGGCUGCUUCCUCCUCCGGUUGACACACUCAUCACGCUGAAAGGCUUGUCUGGAGAUACUGAUGGAUCGGGUGGAGUUCUCGUCCAGGGGAACCUCAGCUGGGUCGACGCCCGUUAGGGUCUGUUGUAAGCAGAAAUGAAGGGGUUAGGGUUUUGAAGGAUUUCGGGCAUGGGAGUGGUGGGUUCGUAUGAAGGGUAGAUAAGCGUUGGGAUGGCGGUGCUGGUGGUGAGCUUGGAGGAGGAGCUUGAUGAGAACCAGAUGGGGGAGGUGUAGUACGAGUUGGAGGGGGCGUCAAGAGUUUUCUGGUCGUUUCGUAGAUGGCGUCGGGGGUUAGUUGGAGGACGGAGGAGUGACAUUGGCAGGCGGAGGAGGAGAAAGUGAGAUUUCUUGAGGGUGAGGCAAUGACGCAGGGAAAUGUGAAGGAGGUGAAUUAGUCAAUGGUGGUCGUGGUGGUGAUAACACCUGGUGGCGGCUGUGGCAAAGCCACCACAGAUAGUGGAGAGGCAGGAUAGGAGAUGGUGGUGAAGCCACAGCUAGUGGAGGUGAGACAGUAGGUGUAGGUUGCGGUGGUGGGGUUGACACUGAAGCUGGAGAAGGAGCAACAGGGCAUCUUCUCAGGCAAUGGUUAUCUCUCUCCAUAAAAUGAGGUACAUGGGGGACCGUGCAUUCUAGACUGGUGACUGAAGUUGUUAGUAAAUUGUAUGGCCAUGGUGUACUGGUAAGGUGACUGCUGUAACAAAUGGCACUUCCUUUUUCAGGGAACUUCUGAUUAUCAAUUUUUUGGUAAGAUAAAACAUUACCUUGUGUGCCAUUAAGUUAUCUUAUUGCCCUCUCUGUCCCAAAAAGAUUGUCUUGUUUGAAGGAAGGGAAAAAAAACCGUUUUAAGGAGGUCGUUGUUUUGUUAUUGCAUCAUUCACCCCCUAUUAGUUUAGCUUAUGUAAUGUGGAGGGUAACAAUUAUGUCAAGUGACUGCGACAAAUGUGUGAAGUUUUGGAUGAUUAAAUCAGGGUAUUGUGAGGAAUUCAAUAAAACUCAUAUCUUGGUUUUUAUAAUAAUGGACAAACAUUUUGGGACAGUAAAAGACAUCAAAACAGGACGACCUUUAUGGGACAGAGGAGUAUCAUUUAGAUUCCUUAAUGUCAUGACUCUAUUUUCCUUUUACAUUUAUACCUUUGUGUAUGUGGCCUUCUAGAAUUUGGCGUUGACUGGGUGUGGUGUUCAAUCAGAGCAUCAGUUUACAGGUCAAAGCCAUUUGGUACAAAUUAAUAAUGAAGUUGCUCAUGUUUAUGUUAUUUUCUGGAUGUCUUCUUCUGUUUCAGUUACUGGGGUGGGUGAAAUUUAGAGACCUUUAUGAUACGCAUUCUUUCCACUACUUUGGUCAUUAUAAAGACAGGAACGCAAAUUUGGUUUAUAAUGAGGAAAUGAUCUCAGCGUCUAAGCGCUGCCAUUGCUUUGUUUGGGUCAUUUGAUUAUAGUUUUUAUUCUAUCCCUUGUUGAGGAAGGAAGACCGUCAUCAUCAAGUUCUCCUUUUAACUAUGUGAAAUGUCUACCAGGAAAGGCAGACACUCGUUGCAUUGUGCCUCACCGGCUGGCUUUUUUUACGGUUGCCCUUGUUUAUGUUGGUAUCUGCUGGCUAUUUCAGUUGAUGUUCACACAUCUUUGAUCCUUAUGAUUUUAAAAUUGCUGCAUCCUAGAGUUAAAAGAAGCUUUUGGCUCUGUUUAGUGUGUCCCCGGAAUAACAUGAAAAAAAACUAUAGGUCAAGAAAGAAAGUCUUUCCUCAUCGUUGGGCGUAUUAAGAAGAAAAAUGAUGGUGGGUACUAUUUGUCUUGCCAAGAUGAGCUUGUCAAUAUGCCGUUUAGGUCAGUCGCUGGAACCAGAGUGGAUUACAUUCCACGGCAGUCUGUGCAUGCCAAACUGUAUAAUAGAAGAGUUUCAUAUUGUGGUGUAUUGACCAAGUUAAUCUUUGGUUGGUUACAUAAACUUGCAAGUA